GCGGCGCGGAGGCAACUUCGGGGCGGCCCCGCGGAGCCCGCGCGGGGGAUGGCGGCGGCGGAACCGGCGUUGAGGCGGCGGCGCUGAGGAGGAGGAGGAGGAAGAGGAGGCGGCGGCGGCGGCGGCGGCGGCGGCGCGAUGCCGGCGGCGGCCGGGGGGCUGCUGUGGUGGAGCUGCUGCGUGCUGGCGGCGGCGGCCGGCGCCCCGAGGGCUGCCGCGGCUCAGGCAGGUGGGUGCGCGGCCGGGCGGGCCGGGAAGUUGGAGCGGGAGCCCCGGCGGCGCGAGGAGAGCGCGGCUCGGAGCCGCGGAGGAGCCGCGAGGAAGUUGCGGGGCGCCGCGAUGUGGGGAUUUGAAGGCGUUCGGGAGAGCGACGGCGCGCCGUGCCCGCGGCCGGGCGCCUCUCAAGGCUUUAUGUAACGGCGUUGGGGCCGGGAGCGGUGGAGCGGCUCAGCCCGUCCCGCUCUGCGCGCCGCACUUCGCCGCCCGUCAGCGCUUCCCAUCCCCGGCAGCGGCGGGCGAAGAGCCGCUCCGCUCCGCGCACCCCCGGGUCCCGUUCCCCGCAGCGCCGAGCGGGGCAGCCCCGCGGGAGGAGUGCUGUGUGCCCCGGCCGCCUCGUUCCCCAUCUCUCUCCGCGUUCUCCCCCUUCUCCCGGCUUUCUCCUUUCCCAGCUCUUCCCAUCCCGCAGCCGAUCCGUCCCCCCUAACGUGAAGCGCCGAGCUGGGGCCGCCCCGUUCGUAAAUCGGGGCUCAGUGUGACCCUUGAACGCAGCGCGGGGGGCCGGCCUCGUGUUGGUAAGCGCUCGCCCAGAGGGCACUGCAGGUGCGCUUUCAGGGUGCGAGCGUUUUAGGGUUCCCCUCCCCGAAUUUGAGUGCCGGCAGUUCGGGCUCUCGGUGCCCUGCGGACGGGGCCGCGACCUCCUCCACGCUCCCAGCGCUCCCGUGGGGGCGGCGAUGCCGUCGCCCAAACUUUUGCUCUCCUCAUCCCGCGCCCGUUGCCGGCAGCACGGACGCAUCGGGGCUCCGUGAUGUUUUCGUGCGGCGAUGCUCGCGGCGCGGGGUUCCGCCGCGUCACGUGGAGCUGCUACCUGGGAGCCUUUGUUCUGCUCGGGGAUCGCCGGGCGACCCGACCCGCUGCUGUUCCCGUACCCGGGCGGGGCGUUCGGUCAUCGCCGCCGGAUUGCGUGAGAGCCGCUCCGGAUUGAACCAAACCACAGUGAGUCCGGCCGCACGUAGUAAGCGGACCUAUCGGCGGCACGUCGGCGUGGCGGGGCAGGGAGCAAAGCAGGUGGUGGCCCUGCUUCGGGGCCGUGCCGUGGCAGCAGCUGUAGGUGGCAGCAGCCCCUCGGAGCUCCCCGCGGCGGCAGCGGGGCCGGAACCCGCCGAGCUGCCGGAGGGACGCGCGGUGCCGUGCGGUAACUCGGUGCGAUGGAGGGGUGAGCGGCCGCAGCUCCCCGGAGGUGGGCAUUGUCGCUGGGCACCGGGCACAUGCCGAGCUCCUGAAGCUUCGGAGCAGCUGCUGCUAUAUAUAAACCUGGGUUUUAAUCGGCCUGCCGGGAAAACCCGUCCCGCUGCGGGCAGCUGUGUGUUGGUGGGUGCAUCGAUGGUACGGCAGCACUGGCACGCGUAGGGGCGGCCAAAUCUGUAACACAAACCCCAGGAGCACGUACGACGUGAGCUGUGAGAAUAGCACCAAUAUAAAGGUGAUGAGGAGUAGAAAUUCAGGCUGUAAGAAUGUCUUAUUCCUGCUUUCUGGUGAUACCUGCUCUUUGUUUCUGCCUCUGAAGCCUAUCAGAUCCGGUCCCUGCCAUAGAAGUAGAUGGGUAAAUAAAGUAUAUCAGCUUGAAAGUAAGCCCCGGAGU
ensembl:lncRNA